UACGGAGGGUGCGAGCGUUGUCCGGAAUUAUUGGGCGUAAAGAGCUCGUAGGCGGCUUGUCACGUCGGGUGUGAAAGACCGGGGCUUAACCCCGGUUCUGCAUUCGAUACGGGCUAGCUAGAGUGUGGUAGGGGAGAUCGGAAUUCCUGGUGUAGCGGUGAAAUGCGCAGAUAUCAGGAGGAACACCGAUGGCGAAGGCAGGUCUCUGGGCCGAUACUGACGCUGAGGAGCGAAAGCAUGGGGAGCGAACAGG
rnacentral:rRNA from 1 species